rnacentral:rRNA from 2 species
UGCUGCAUGGCUGUCGUCAGCUCGUGUCGUGAGAUGUUGGGUUAAGUCCCGCAACGAGCGCAACCCUCGCCCUUAGUUGCCAGCAUUGAGUUGGGCACUCUAGGGGGACUGCCGGUGAUAAGCCGAGAGGAAGGUGGGGAUGACGUCAAGUCCUCAUGGCCCUUACGGGCUGGGCUACACACGUGCUACAAUGGCGGUGACAGUGGGCAGCGAACCCGCAAGGGGGAGCUAAUCUCCAAAAGCCGUCUCAGUUCGGAUUGUUCUCUGCAACUCGAGAGCAUGAAGUUGGAAUCGCUAGUAAUCGCGUAACAGCAUGACGCGGUGAAUACGUUCCCGGGCCUUGUACACACC